UCUGUCUCCAGAAAUAUAAGAAACAUCAAAGAGACAAAGCUGGAGGAGGAGAACAAGUUCUUGGCAAGCGAAAUUGAAAGCCUUGUGAAAAAAAACAAGUACUUGAAAGAGAAACUCCUUCAAAGUCAAGGAAGGCCUGCCUAAGAGGAAGAAGACCUUCCAAGUGAGAAACAGCCGGCUGGAAAAAACCCAAGGAAAAUAUAUAUAUAUAUUUAUAUAUAUAUAUAUAAAUAAGAACAUGGGAUUGCAUUAGUAACUUACAGUAAUUAGUGGAAUAAAUAAGUGCAAAUGCUGUGGAUGUAGCAUAUGUAGAAUUCAGUAAAACAUUUGAGAAGUAAACCAUAGCCAAGGUCUUCAUAAGAUAGAAUAGUGUGGGAUAGAUAGUACCACCACCAGAUGGCUUUGCACUUGGCCGACCAACCACACUCAGCAUGUAGGCCUCAGUGAAACUACAUCUAUCUGGAGGGAAGCAUGCAGUGAGGUAUCUCAAGGUCCUAUCUUGGGCUCCUCAAUAUCUUCAUCAAUGAGCUAAAUGAAGGGAUAGAAGGGGACUUGAUCACAUUUGCAGGAAGAAAACAAAUGCACACUAUAGGCAGUUACUGGCUCAAUAGUAGCAACUAUUGUUCCUGUGGACCAACACUAAACUAUGAGCCAGCAGUGUGCUGCAGCUGCCAAAAAAGCCAAUGCAGUUCUAGGGUGCCUCAAGAGAAGGAUUGCAUGAAAAUCACAAGUGAUAGUACCGCUCUAUACCACACUAGUGAGGCCACAUUUGGAAUACUGCAUCCAGUUCUGGUUGCCACAAUACAAAAAGAUGCUGAGAGUCUAGAAAGAGCGUAGAAAAGAGCAACUAAGAUGAUAUGAGGUCUGGAAGAUAAAUUGUACAAUGAUCGGUUAA